CACGAAUUUGGAAAAUGAUACAGA
rnacentral:piRNA from 1 species